GGGGUGGUAGCUCAGCCUGGUUAGAGCGCCGGCCUGUCACGCCGGAGGUCGCGAGUUCAACUCUCGUCCACCCCGCCA
rnacentral:tRNA from 1 species